rnacentral:rRNA from 1 species
ACGCUGGCGGCAGGCCUAACACAUGCAAGUCGAGCGGUAGAGAGAAGCUUGCUUCUCUUGAGAGCGGCGGACGGGUGAGUAAUGCCUAGGAAUCUGCCUGGUAGUGGGGGAUAACGUUCGGAAACGGACGCUAAUACCGCAUACGUCCUACGGGAGAAAGCAGGGGACCUUCGGGCCUUGCGCUAUCAGAUGAGCCUAGGUCGGAUUAGCUAGUUGGUGAGGUAAUGGCUCACCAAGGCGACGAUCCGUAACUGGUCUGAGAGGAUGAUCAGUCACACUGGAACUGAGACACGGUCCAGACUCCUACGGGAGGCAGCAGUGGGGAAUAUUGGACAAUGGGCGAAAGCCUGAUCCAGCCAUGCCGCGUGUGUGAGGAAGGUCUUCGGAUUGUAAAGCACUUUAAGUUGGGAGGAAGGGUUGUAGAUUAAUACUCUGCAAUUUUGACGUUACCGACAGAAUAAGCACCGGCUAACUCUGUGCCAGCAGCCGCGGUAAUACAGAGGGUGCAAGCGUUAAUCGGAAUUACUGGGCGUAAAGCGCGCGUAGGUGGUUUGUUAAGUUGGAUGUGAAAUCCCCGGGCUCAACCUGGGAACUGCAUUCAAAACUGACUGACUAGAGUAUGGUAGAGGGUGGUGGAAUUUCCUGUGUAGCGGUGAAAUGCGUAGAUAUAGGAAGGAACACCAGUGGCGAAGGCGACCACCUGGACUAAUACUGACACUGAGGUGCGAAAGCGUGGGGAGCAAAC